UCUCCGUAGGUGAACCUGCGGAGGGAUCAUUACAGAGUUCUCGCCCUCGCGGGUAGAUCUCCCACCCACUGUUAUCGUUACUGUGUUGCUUUGGCGGGCCGCCGGGCCCCGCUCGGCCGCCGGCUUCGGCUGGCGCGCGCCCGCCAGAGGCCCAGCAAACUCUGAAUGUUAGUGUCGUCUGAGUACUAUAUAAUAGUUAAAACUUUCAACAACGGAUCUCUUGGUUCUG
rnacentral:misc_RNA from 1 species